UCUACCACUGUGAUUUUGCGCACGAGGUUCUUCACCGCUAUUUCGUUUUUUAUGGGUGAACACUGACAAACUUUUUGUGUCCCUCAAGUACCGUCGAUAAUUGGUAUGAAGAGGACAGGACGCCCUUCCGAUAGAACGCUGUGAAAAGCCUUCUUGUGUGAUAUAAGUGGUGCCUUGCUCACUCACCACACGGAGAGAGAUCCUCUGACUGCACAUGAUGAAAUGACAUUUGAGUCGAUGACAUGCAGGCCAUGUAGUAGUGUGAUCUUUUUUAGGGACACAUGUAGCAGUGGGAUCCAAUCCUCACUCGCCAUGUGGAGGCAGCUACAUUCCUUUAGGACGUGAUUCCAUAAAGCAGGGUACAUCAAAACCGGAGGACAAGAGCAUCUCUAGCAGAGGCUGACGGGGCCGGCGGCCAGAGGAGGGGCGACCAUGGGCUCCCUCGCCAUGGCCAGAGGAGGUGCCGUGCGGGUGGUGGUGGCGCCAGAGGCGACGGCCGCGCGUGAGGACGAGGCAACGUCGGCCAGAGGAGGGCCCAUCGCGGCGGCCUGAGGAGGGGGAGCAACGCCGCAACCAAAGGAGCUGGUCGCUGCUUUGCCCCGUACUCUUGUCUCCUUCCACCUGUUGCGUCCGGCCUGCGUCGAGGAGGGGGAAGGGGAGCUCGCGCGGCGGCCAGAGGUGGGAACUAGGCGGCGGUGGCCUGAGCAGGAGCUCCUGGGCGCGGCGGUGGCGGCCUGAGGAGGCAGGCUCAACGGCUAGAGGAAGAAGAAGCUUCUGACCGGGCGCGGGCUAAAGCCAACCGUUUCUAGCGGAUCGGGUUGCCUGUUCGGUUUGCUUGUGAUGCUGAAGAUAUUUGGAUUUUUUGCCCGCCGAGAUCGAUUUUCGGGUCAGACCUUGUUUUCGGUAUCGGUUCGGAUCAGUUUUUUUUCUCCGAAUGCUUAAAGCGACAAUUAUUUUUCAGGUCUGUUCAGUAUCUGCUAGAGAUGCUCUAAGAGCAAUGCAUGCAAACAGAACAAUUGUCUUGCUUCCUUGAGAAACUAUGCCAAAAGCCAAAAUAAUAAUGAGUGGAUGAAGCGGAGCGGACUGUGGAGGCUGGGCUUGUUGCGGCAAUUGGAACCGAAGCCAGUUGCCUAAUGCAGUUCAACUUUCUUCAAAAAAAAAAUGCAGAUCGACCAAAGGUGAAGCCGGUAGUUGUCAUGGCGGCACGCGUCGUCAGUGUUGUCAUCGUAUUAUUAUUUUUAUCAUAAAAUGAUCAUAAUCUACCGACCGAUCAGGACAGAAAUAUCUUCCGCUCCACCGAUCUGACGCUUGGAGGUGGGGGUCUGCACCAUCAUCAUGGUCCGUGAUGAUUAGUCCAAUGCUGCAUUGAUAAAGGAAGAGCCCCGAGAACUCGCCGUGACCUUAUGGUGAAGCUCAUGGUGGAGGCGUGGAGAUCCAUCGAUGGUUCUUCGCGACAUGGAGCCCGGAGAGGAUCGACGGUGGAUGAAUCGAGACUUACCAGAUCCAGCGACUGUGGGCUCUAGUGAGCCUGUUUCGUUGCCGACGAAUUCAAUCAGCAAGGUGUCUCAAAUGUGUGUUAGUAAAAGGUUAACAAAUUUAUGAUUUUUAAUGUAAAACGACAUGCUGCGAGUGUGUAUGUUAGUUUGCUCUGUACACAAGAAUGUUAUAUUGCAACGUUUUUAGGUGGUGUGAGGGAUGUUUUUUAGUUGCAAAUACUCCCUCAGUCCCGAAAUAAAUGACGUGGAUUUAUAUAAGAUCUUAUAGAAAUUCAUGUCACUUAUUUUGAGACGGAGAUAAUAUAUUUUUUUGUUACUACUUCA